GUCAGGGUGGCCGAGUAGUUUAAGGCGCCAGACUCAAGAUCUCGUCCUCUUACGAGGGUGUGGGUUUCAAACCCCACUUCUGACA
rfam:Triticum aestivum genome assembly, contig: Triticum_aestivum_CS42_TGACv1_scaffold_271785_3DS